rnacentral:rRNA from 1 species
UCCAGACUCCUACGGGAGGCAGCAGUGAGGAAUAUUGGUCAAUGGCCGGGAGGCUGAACCAGCCAAGUCGCGUGAGGGAAGACGGCCCUACGGGUUGUAAACCUCUUUUGUCAGGGAGCAAGGUGCAGGUCGGGACCUGCUGUGAGAGUACCUGAAGAAAAAGCAUCGGCUAACUCCGUGCCAGCAGCCGCGGUAAUACGGAGGAUGCGAGCGUUAUCCGGAUUUAUUGGGUUUAAAGGGUGCGCAGGCGGGGGCACAAGUCAGCGGUAAAAGCGGGGGGCUCACCCCCGCUCCGCCGUUGAAACUGUGUCCCUUGAGUGCGCGAAGGGUAGGCGGAAUGCGUGGUGUAGCGGUGAAAUGCAUAGAUAUCACGCAGAACCCCGAUUGCGAAGGCAGCAUACCGGCGCGCAACUGACGCUCAUGCACGAAAGCGUGGGUAUCGAACAGGAUUAGAUACCCUCGUAU